UGAGUAACCUGCCCUUAACUUCGGGAUAAGCCUGGGAAACCGGGUCUAAUACCGGAUACAACGGACCACCGCAUGGCGGUCCGUGGAAAGCUUUAUGCGGUUUUGGAUGGACUCGCGGCCUAUCAGCUAGUUGGUAGGGGUAAUGGCCCACCAAGGCGACGACGGGUAGCCGGCCUGAGAGGAUGACCGGCCACACUGGGACUGAGACACGGCCCAGACUCCUACGGGAGGCUG
rnacentral:rRNA from 1 species